UGGGGAAUAUUGGACAAUGGGGGAAACCCUGAUCCAGCAAUGCCGCGUGUGUGAAGAAGGCCUGCGGGUUGUAAAGCACUUUUGUUCGGGAAGAAAACCUGUGGACUAAUACUCUGCGGGGAUGACGGUACCGGAAGAAUAAGCACCGGCUAACUUCGUGCCAGCAGCCGCGGUAAUACGAAGGGUGCAAGCGUUAAUCGGAAUUACUGGGCGUAAAGGGUGCGUAGGCGGCUUUUUAAGUCGGAUGUGAAAGCCCCGGGCUUAACCUGGGAAUGGCAUCUGAUACUGGAAGGCUAGAAUCUGGAAGAGGGUGGUGGAAUUCCCGGUGUAGCGGUGAAAUGCGUAGAGAUCGGGAGGAACAUCAGUGGCGAAGGCGGCCACCUGGUCUAAGAUUGACGCU
rnacentral:rRNA from 1 species